rnacentral:tRNA from 1 species
UGCUGGGAUGGCGGAAUUGGCAGACGCGCACGUUUGAGGGGCGUGUGGGCUACCCCGUGUGGGUUCGACUCCCACUCCCAGCACCAU